UAUUUUGAUUGUGCAAAGGUAGCAUAAUAAUUAGUUUUUUAAUUGAGAACUGGUAUGAAUGGUUGGACGAGAAAAAAACUGUCUCAAUUUAAUUUUAAUUAGAAUUUUAUUUUUAAGUUAAAAAGCUUAAAUAUAUUUAAAAGACGAGAAGACCCUAUAGAGUUUUAUAAAAUUUAGUAUUUUUAAUAAUUUUAGUAUUUUAUCAAUUAAUUAUAUUAUUUUUAUUUGAUUGGGGUGAUUAAAAAAUUUAAAUAACUUUUUUUAAGUAUAAACAUUAAUUUAUGAAUAAUUGAUCC
rnacentral:rRNA from 1 species